CUACGGAGGGUCCAAGCGUUAUCCGGAUUCAUUGGGUUUAAAGGGUCCGCAGGCGGGAAAAUAAGUCAGCGGUGAAAGCCUACAGCUCAACUGUAGAACUGCCAUUGAUACUGUUUUUCUUGAGUAUAGAUGAAGUGGGCGGAAUAUAUCAUGUAGCGGUGAAAUGCAUAGAUAUGAUAUAGAACACCGAUUGCGAAGGCAGCUCACUAAACUAUUACUGACGCUCAGGGACGAAAGCGUGGGGAGCGAACAGGAUUAGAGACCCGAGUAGUCC
rnacentral:rRNA from 1 species